GAGCCCGCGGCCGAGGAGGAGGCGGAGGAGGGCGGCGCGCUGCCCGGCGCCGCGCCGUGGGGGUGUCCGCCGCCGCCGCCGCCGCCGCCGUGGUGCGGGUGGUGGUGGUGGUGGUGGUAGUGGGGCGCGCCGCCCUGCGCCGCCGCCGCGGCGAUCACCGCCGACACCACGGCGGCCGCCGAGCCCAUCUCCUCGGCCGGCACCGAGCCGCCGGCGGCCGCGGCCAGCUGCUGCCCUCUAGCAUAGCCAUCGAAGGCGCCGGGCAGCGGGUGGUGGCUGCUGUUGAUCAGCGCCUCCACCGCGUCCUCGGGGCUGAAGCCCAGCGCCUCGGGGUUGAGCUGCUGCGGGUAGCCCGUCAUCCAGUAGUAGUCUUCCAGGUGUCUUUUUUAUUAAGUGGAGCACCAGCAUAUGUACCACGCAUCCCGAUUUGCUGGUGGUGCUGCGGUGUCGGAGCAGAGGGAACAGAAGCAGCGGCAAACAAACGCCAUCGAUUAAUAUCUGUUUUUGCAUCGGUGUUGCCGAAUCCAUCAUUUCCACUGCUUGCUUAUCGUGUUUCUGAAACACUCAGAAUAUCCCAAAUAAGCCCGUGUGAUCCAGAAGGAACUUCUCUCUCGGGCUGGAGGUUGGUGCCACCAGGUUUGUGCUGCGCUCACCCUAUGAUGCAUGUCCCACUUUACUCGUCUCCAUGAAUGGUUCAGCCUGGAUGUGAAAAUCAAUACAGACGUCCCUGAUGCCAAAAACCUAUUUGUCUAAAAGAUAUAAAAAGUGAAAUUGCAAUAAAGAUUUUUAUCGGGCUUUAUGGUGGAAUUCGUCAUUUAUAACUGGGAUGAUGAUGUUGGGUUAUAUAACGUGUUCGCUCUCAAAUUAGCUGAUGUGAGUAAAUAGAGGUAAUCUGGUAAAAUCUGGUGCCCAGGUUGAUCUCUGCAGAAAGCUACAGUUAAAGGAGGAGAAGAAAACAGUCACAUCAAUAUCACACCACUGAGCUGUCCCAGCAAAGCCCUGUGAUACGCACGAGGCGUUGGUAUCUAUUUUAGCUCUGGAAAAUCCUUGCUGCUUCUCUCCCUUCUGCUCUGCACUGAGUUGUUUCGGCAGCAAGGAGCAGUGGCAGCAUGAAAUAAUAUGUGAAUUUUAUGUGCUCUCUCUUCCUCAAAGCUGCCUACCAGUGAGUGGCGAGGGGGGCACGAUACGGAGGUGGUGUUUUGAUGUGUGACUGCGAAGGGUGAGACGGCCAUUAUUAAGAGUGAUCGACUUCAGUGACUUUUAAACAAAGCUGUGAUUUAAUGUCUUAAAGCCCGAGAUGGCACAGACUUGUCGUUAGUUGGCGUGGUGGGCUGAGUGCCAUGCACUGGGCUUAUCUCGUGUGAGUAAAGCAUAGAAAUGUGUGGGGUAAGUGAUGGGGUCUUCGGCAGCACAAGGCUCUUGGCUUGCGUGGCCUUAUGGCAGAGGGGGGCUGUGCCAACGGGAGCACAUAAGGAUCUCACGUUACCUCCAACCUUCAAUUAUCGUGCUGAAUCUGGCCUAACCUGCUUAUCUCCUGAGAAUUACUCACUGGGUUUUGGCAGGAGGAGGUGUCAAUGAAAAUGAGACAGUUCUGGAGCCAGCAUCGCUGCCAGCAGCCAGGGCUUAAUUCUGGGCAGAGCUGGGGACAGUGUGUUCCUCUCCCUGCCAUGGCUCCAGCUGCUCCCAUCCCCAGCCCUCUCCACCAGGUGAGCUCUUCCCCAUCCCAUUCCCAUUCCUGUUCCUGGCUCCCAGCUCUAGUCUCCAUGUUGGAAGCCCAGUGGCUGGAGCUGUCUUCUUGACUAUGGAGAUGUAGCAGCAUCUGUCAGAAAAUACAUGUGAAAGCAGCCCGGGUGCCAGCAAAUAGGAGCUGUAGCUUUCUAAGCAGCUACAUCUGAUUUGGUUUCAUACAUUUAACUUCGCCUUUUUUUUCUCCCACUAUUGGCAAAUGUGUUAUUCUCGCACAGAACUGAGAACAACCUGCAUUUCCCAGGAUUGCUUUACGAAGUCUUGGUGCAGAGAAGUGCAUGUUGUGAUGACAUCUGACGUCGUCCAGUGGCAUUCAUUGUCCACACCAAGCAGGAAUGGAAAGUUUCACGCCCCCUUCCCCUCCUGCUCCCCAGCAUUAGCUCACCAUUGUGGCGGGGCUGGGCAAACCACUUUGCAUUGGCCUCCAUCCGGAGUCCGGGUCAUGGGGAAAUGCUAAUCCUUAACAAAAAAGGAAAUGAUAAAAAUACCCAUGAAAUUAAUUUCCACACCUGCAGUCGAGAUUAAUAACAGCAACCGGAGUGGCAUCCCAUUUCAGUUCCCUGGAGGUGACUGACAGCCC
rnacentral:lncRNA from 1 species